ensembl:lincRNA Gm12524 predicted gene 12524
GAGAGAGAGAGAGAGAGAGAGAGAGAGAGAGAUUCUGUAGCCUCUACUUCUGCCUCCCUAGACAGAAUUCUGGGCCAGAAACCCUCUCAAUGGCCACUGGAGGGCCCUGUCUAUUCCUCCAGGGUGCAGAUGCAGGGGCCCAGGUGGCUGCCAGCAAAAUGCAGCUGGGGACUGGAGUGGAAGCUGCACCCUCAGGAAACAGGCCACACUUUCACCCCAGCCAGUUCCCGGCCUAAUUAGAGACCGGAACGGCAUUGAUCGUCCCUGGGCUCAUUAUGUCACAGCUGGGGAACAGCUGGCCAGUCUUUUCCAGGCCAUUAGCUGCGCCAUGAAGUGGAGAAAAGGCGGGGGGGNNNNNNNNNNNNNNNNNNNNNNNNNGGGGGGGGAGUGAGCGAGCAGGAUCAAUACCCUGUCUGUGUGUGGGGGAAACAGCUUGGUGGCUGCCUCCCCUGGCUCUCUGGGCUGUGUUUCUCUCAAAGGCUGCCUCCUGCGCACAAGCUUCGAGUUCACACGUGGAAACCCAGCUCUAACCAUCUGGGAGCUUGGCUCUUGGAUCUCUCACCUGCCAGAAGCUGUUCCAUCAGGGCACUUAAGCAGUCUUGAGACCUGACCUGGAGAGUCAUUGAGGUUUCUUGACAACAACAGCCAACCAUCUGAGGGACUCAUGUGACCCUCUGUGAAAGCUGACCCUCCCGUCCCAGUCAAGUUUUCUGAUGACCGAGCUUCCACGUGGCAUGUGCCUGUAACUGAGAAAUACCCUAGCAUCUCUAGCCAACAGAAAUUGUGUUUCACAGCCAUUGAUUUCCUGAUUCCUCUUUCCUUCUCCUCCAAAAAGGACUACUCACCCUUCUCGACUUUUCACCAUGCCUGGAUUAAACAGGAAAGAGGAAAAAAAAAAAUCUUUCCAGAUCAUGCAUAAGUUUAAUGUGCUAAUACCCCUAGAAGAGAUAAUACAGUCACUUAAAUUCACAGUAAAACAUGGGAGAGAUCUAGCUUUUUUCUUUUUUAAACUCUUAGCAAGCUAAUUUGUUGAGAGGUUAAUUUCAGGUGUGGUCUUGCUACUGUAAAAGACUGGAAAGAAAAACUUGCUAAUUUCUCCCUCUGUGCCCAGUAUCUCAAGAAUGAAUUCUUGGAUGACAUGGUCUUGGUCAUUCCUGGGCCUUGCCCCCAAUCAUCAAUUUUCAUACUUUGAUUAACAGCUUCUUUGUGCUUAGGGAGGCCAUCUUACAGAAACCAUCUUACAGAAAACACCUCAACGCCCACCACUGGUCUUCACCUUUGAGAAUUAAUAGAGAAAGUAUCAAGAUCUGACAACCAGGAAGUGCAGGUACUGCUUCGGGAAGAAGAUAAAUGGGAGAGCUGGAUAGGACGGGAAGUGGGGAGGCAAGGUGGGUUGUCUGUGGAAGGACACGCCUCCCAAGCCCAGUCGUGACUAGCAAGCUUGCAGGCUAAGCAGCUGUGUUCUUCUAUGGUACUCCAAGAAGUAUAGACUAGUGACAUCAAAAGUAGAGAGGGAAGAACAAAAACAAAAACAAAAAAGCAAAAUAAAGCUCUUCUCCCAAAUUUUAGUGACUUCACAGCUGCGCAGAGAAAGCAGAAGG